UACGGGGGGAGCAAGCGUUGUUCGGAUUUACUGGGCGUAAAGGGCGCGUAGGCGGCCACCGCAAGUCGACUGUGAAAUCUCCGGGCUUAACCCGGAAAGGUCAGCCGAUACUGCGGGGCUAGAGUGCAGAAGGGGCAACUGGAAUUCUCGGUGUAGCGGUGAAAUUCGUAGAUAUCAAGCGGAACACCGGUGGCGAAGGCGGCCUUCUGGACAGUGACUGACGCUGAGACGCGAAAGCGUGGGGAGCAAACAGG
rnacentral:rRNA from 1 species